rnacentral:rRNA from 1 species
UACGAAGGGGGCAAGCGUUGUUCGGAAUUACUGGGCGUAAAGGGCGCGUAGGCGGCUUAUCAAGUCAGGCGUGAAAUUCCCGGGCUCAACCUGGGGGCUGCGCUUGAUACUGAUUGGCUUGAAUGCGGGAGAGGAUAGUGGAAUUCCCAGUGUAGAGGUGAAAUUCGUAGAUAUUGGGAAGAACACCGGUGGCGAAGGCGGCUAUCUGGCCCGUAAUUGACACUGAGGCGCGAAAGCGUGGGGAGCAAACAGG